rnacentral:tRNA from 1 species
GAGGAUGUAGCUCAAAGUGGUAGAGCACAUGCUUAGCAUGCAUGAGGUCCUGGGUUCAAUCCCCAGUUCCUCU